rnacentral:tRNA from 1 species
CGCGGGGUAGAGCAGCCCGGUAGCUNNAGCUCGUCAGGCCCAUAACCUGGAGGUCGUAGGUUCAAAUCCUACCCCCGCAA